AUGGGAAUUCAUUCUACCAUUUUAACCCUACUUUGCGUCGACUCGCGCCACUGCCAAACCCACCCAUCGCUAAUUUUCAAUCCAUCUCCGACGCAACUCCGACCACUGGGUAAAUAGAAAGACUACAUUUCACACCAUUUUUCCCAAAUUUUGUGUCGAUCUUACAACCGAAAACCCAUCCAUAUCGAGUCAAAAUCCGGGGAACUGACCGGAGAACUUUGAGCUAUUUGUAAACAAGAGGUUGGACGUGUUCCUUACAUCCCACCACUUUCAUCAGCAAGUCUGAAACUUGCUCUAACCCUAAAUGAUAGAAAAAGAGGCAUUGAAGCUAAACAGCCAAACUCUGCUAUUGGUAAAUGUGCUGGGGUUAAACUCAUUAAGAAUAACAAGAAGAUUGCUGCUUUUGUCCCCCAUGAUGUUUGUUUAAAUGUGCUUUACUUUGCUAGUGAAAUUAGUACAUCUAGAAAUGUUCAUACUUCUUAAGCAUGGAUGCCUGAUAUGUAAUUUGCUGGAUAUUAUUUCGUAUUUUCUUUUAAUUUACUGUAUCAGAAUUUGUGUUGCUAUGUGUUGAUAUUUAGAUAAUCAUUUUCUGGUCUCUCUCUCUCUCUUGCAGUUGGAACAUUGCAUGCAUUUUUUUUUAUUGAUAAUCAAGUAAUAUAUUUUGGCCAAAUUAAUUGAAAUCCUAUGUAACUUGGGCAUGCUUUUCGGCCGUGUGAUAGUCCUUUCUAAAUGUGGACAAGGCACAAUGUUGGCUUAAUAACUCAGCUUGGUCGAGCUCGCCUGUACUAGUCGUGGAGGAUCGGCACAACUAUUUCUCCAAGGCCACAACUACUAUUUUGUCCUAGGAUAGAAGGCUAAUAUAAGUCUGUUGUCACAAAAAAGUUUGUUGAUUCAGUUUGUAUAUUUGUUUAUCAAAGUGUGUACACACUUUUGAUAUGUUAGUUUUUUACUUUUGA